UACGUAGGGGGCAAGCGUUGUCCGGAUUUAUUGGGCGUAAAGAGCGUGUAGGCGGCCAGAUAGGUCCGUUGUGAAAACUGGAGGCUUAACCUCCAGCGGUCGAUGGAAACCAUUUGGCUAGAGUCCGGAAGAGGAGAGUGGAAUUCCUGGUGUAGCGGUGAAAUGCGUAGAGAUCCGGAGGAACACCGAAAGCGAAGGCAGUGUCCUGGCUGGUGACUGACGCUGAGGUGCGAAAGCUAGGGGAGCGAACGGG
rnacentral:rRNA from 1 species